rnacentral:rRNA from 1 species
AGAGUUGAUCCUGGCUCAGGAUGAACGCUAGCGGCAGGCUUCAUACAUGCAAGUCGAGGGGCAGCAUAAAUUACUUGUAAUUUGAUGGCGACCGGCGAACGGGUGCGUAACGCGUAUGCAACUUACCUUUUACUAGAGAAUAGCCAAGAGAAAUUUUGAUUAAUGCUCUAUGUUCUUAUUUACUCGCAUGAGUAAAUAAGCAAAGCUCCGGCGGUAAAAGAUGGGCAUGCGUCCUAUUAGCUUGUAGGUGAGGUAACGGCUCACCUAAGCUCCGAUAGGUAGGGGUCCUGAGAGGGAGAUCCCCCACACUGGUACUGAGACACGGACCAGACUUCUACGGAAGGCAGCAGUAAGGAAUAUUGGACAAUGGAGGCAACUCUGAUCCAGCCAUGCCGCGUGAAGGAAGACGGCCUUAUGGGUUGUAAACUUCUUUUAUACAGGAAGAAACCUUUCCACGUGUGGAAAGCUGACGGUACUGUAAGAAUAAGGAUCGGCUAACUCCGUGCCAGCAGCCGCGGUAAUACGGAGGAUCCAAGCGUUAUCCGGAAUUAUUGGGUUUAAAGGGUCCGCAGGCUGUUUGUUAAGUCAGAGGUGAAAGCCUACCGCUCAACGGUAGAACUGCCUUUGAUACUGGCAAACUUGAGUUAUUGUGAAGUAGUUAGAAUGUGUAGUGUAGCGGUGAAAUGCAUAGAUAUUACACAGAAUACCGAUUGCGAAAGCAGAUUACUAACAAUAUACUGACGCUGAGGGACGAAAGCGUGGGUAGCGAACAGGAUUAGAUACCCUGGUAGUCCACGCCGUAAACGAUGGUCACUAGCUGUUCGAUGUACAUUGGUACAUUGAGUGGCUAAGCGAAAGUGAUAAGUGACCCACCUGGGGAGUACGCUCGCAAGAGUGAAACUCAAAGGAAUUGACGG